rnacentral:tRNA from 1 species
GCGGUUGUAGCUCAGUUGGUAGAGCACGCGACUUUUAAUCGUGAGGUCGAGAGUUCAAGUCUCUCCAACCGCACCA